UACGUAGGGGGCUAGCGUUGUUCGGAUUUACUGGGCGUAAAGCGCACGUAGGCGGAUUGUUAAGUCAGGGGUGAAAUCCUGGAGCUCAACUCCAGAACUGCCUUUGAUACUGGCAAUCUAGAGUCCGGAAGAGGUGAGUGGAACUCCUAGUGUAGAGGUGGAAUUCGUAGAUAUUCGCAAGAACACCAGUGGCGAAGGCGGCUCACUGGCCCGGUACUGACGCUGAGGUGCGAAAGCGUGGGGAGCAAACAGG
rnacentral:rRNA from 1 species